rnacentral:rRNA from 1 species
GACGAACGCUGGCGGCGUGCCUAAUACAUGCAAGUUGAGCGCUGAAGGUUGGUACUUGUACCGACUGGAUGAGCAGCGAACGGGUGAGUAACGCGUGGGGAAUCUGCCUUUGAGCGGGGGACAACAUUUGGAAACGAAUGCUAAUACCGCAUAAAAACUUUAAACACAAGUCUUAAGUUUGAAAGAUGCAAUUGCAUCACUCAAAGAUGAUCCCGCGUUGUAUUAGCUAGUUGGUGAGGUAAAGGCUCACCAAGGCGAUGAUACAUAGCCGACCUGAGAGGGUGAUCGGCAACAUUGGGACUGAGACACGGCCCAAACUCCUACGGGAGGCAGCAGUAGGGAAUCUUCGGCAAUGGACGAAAGUCUGACCGAGCAACGCCGCGUGAGUGAAGAAGGUUGUCGGAUCGUAAAACUCUGUUGGUAGAGAAGAACGUUGGUGAGAGUGGAAAGCUCAUCAAGUGACGGUAACUACCCAGAAAGGGACGGCUAACUACGUG